CGUUCUGUGGCGUAGUUGGUUAACGUGCUCGGUCUAGCAUAUUGGGAGUCGUGGGAUCGAAGCCCACCUGAAUGA
rfam:Aedes aegypti strain Liverpool supercont1.261 genomic scaffold, whole genome shotgun sequence.